rnacentral:rRNA from 1 species
UACAGAGGUCCCAAGCGUUGUUCGGAUUUAUUGGGCGUAAAGGGUGCGUAGGCGGUCGCCUAAGUCAGAUGUGAAAUCCCGGGGCUCAACCUCGGAACUGCAUUUGAUACUGGGUGACUCGAGUACUGGAGAGGAGACUGGAAUUUACGGUGUAGCAGUGAAAUGCGUAGAUAUCGUAAGGAAGACCAGUGGCGAAGGCGAGUCUCUGGACAGUUACUGACGCUGAGGCACGAAGGCUAGGGGAGCAAACGGG